CUCAGACGGCUAACGAGAUAAAGAACUACCGGCAUUCAUAUCUGAAGAAGAAAGCACACAACUUAGAUAACAAGAAAUCUCAAAACACAUAGAAUAAACAAACACCAUGUACAAGAACAGACUCAAGCCUUGAAUCUUCAGCAUCAGUUUGCUUACAUGGUGAUGUUGGAAAAAAAACCCACCGUGAAGCACUUACACAGUUUUUAAGCGUGUCACGUGUUCACAUGGUAAUUAGUUUCAGUAACGAAGACACAGAGGCAGCAUUAUGAGGGGAAAUCGCAACUAUUCGCAAGGUCACCAAAUUAACGGGUCAACCAGAGGUGGAGAUCUUAACAAGGCCAAUAAUCAUAUAGCCUUCACAGCAGUAUAAGCAGGGAAUACAUAAUGAAAACACAAUUUUUGUUUUUCUUAUUUUGUUUGAGUUUUUUGUUUUUGUUUUUUGUUUGUAUUAAAAGUCCUUAAUUGCAAGUUCAUAAACAAAAUAAAAUAUUCUUGCUGCUG